AAGCAACGCACGACCUGUAGGCCUAUACCGAAGCCCCACUUGAGCCCUAAGCAACUUCAGGAACGGUUCUCUCCAAGCUGACAAAUGCAAGACAUGCACACACAGACAGGAAAACAAAAGGCAAAAAGGCAAAGCCGACAAACAUUACUUCCCAGAACAACAGCUGCUUCUGAAUGAGAGGAAUGUGAUAAUGAAACUGCUAAACUGAGAGAGUGGGAGGGAAUUCUGUCAUCAAAGUCAUGAGCUUACCAGUGUGUUAUCGGUUGCCAUUCGUGGCUGAUCUGAGACCGUGGAUCAUGGAGCAUGUAGUGGGGCAGAUGAACCGGGUGUAGUGGUCCUGAAGACACCGGAGGUGGCGGGCUGCUCAUGGUGAAGGGGGUACCUCAAGGACAACAAGAUAGGCCUACUCGUCUUUUCGGGUAGCAGCCCCUGCCUACAGCUGUCUACCGUCCCACGGUGUUUCCCUGAAUCGUCCAGGAUUUACCCCGUCAGUUUUGAUUGGUCCGUACACUAGUGCAUCACGGUACCGAUAAAAACUCGUAUUAUUUCCUUUACAGCUUUUUUGAAUGGGGAUCCACCAAUGAAAGGCAAGGGUUUGUUACUAACCCCUCGUAGCUGUAACGAUUUAAGCAUUGCGCCUUGAUGCAACGCACACCCCUUCGGCCGGCUGGUGCUCUGAGGGAACUGGUCCUUAUUACAGUGAUUAGGCGAGAAGGUACAAGACCUGCCAUGCCAAAAACUCCACGUGACCAAAAUAUGCUACUGGGACCUCAUUGGUCAAGCUUCUUUCUAUGACGUGCAAUGUUUACGGAAGUGUUUUCGGCACUCCGGACGGUUUUGGGCACGGUCCUCGGAUAGUGUUGUUGUUGUACCAAAUGGCAAAAUAUUUGCUCACCACAGUGACCCUUGUCGGACCAUAGUCUAUAGAGUAAACACCCGACUCCUGCUGCCGACCGAUAUUUACUGCUGCUAGUAUACAAAGCAAGUUCUCGGUGCUAAUUAGCCAUGACACUUAGGAAGAUCAGCAGAAGAUGAUGAUAUUACAGGAAUGAGUUUUGCCACUGUGACUGGUAGGCAGAAGAGACAUUGCACUUAACUUACUUAAUUAAAUACUUACAGCUUACAAUUAGACCCAGUUACUGGGGUGCUGUACUCAAAAAUUUGUCAUAAUCAGUCAGGUAAUGACACAAUUUGAAAAGUACAGCGCCCCAGUAACUGGGUCUAGCUUACAAUAAACUUCAAAACAUUCAUCCUCCUAAAAUAAAGCUUUCUUAAGUUAAAAUAAAAAAUAAAUAAAUAAAUUUUAGAUAUACUCAUAGUGUCAGUGCAAAAAGGCCGUAACUCAAUUCUGUCACAAAGUCGUAUCUCACACAAAAAUGCUCAAUGCAACAGUGUCAUAUCUCUGCGUCCAUUGACUCUGUGAUUACUUGACUCUGUGAUUACAUCCGGGCAAGACACGACCAUGCGACAUUCUAAAAUUAGUAUUUCACGUAAACGCUGUUUUAGGAGAUAGACCUUGUUGCACCAACACAACAAACUCUGGUAUCAGUUGUAUAAUUUGUUUGACAUGUAACAGAGUAUUAAGUAGCACUAGUUUGAUGAACCCAUGAGAAAUAUCAAAAAUCUGGGUUUCUGAACUGAUGCUAUGAUGAUAUUUGUUAACCAGGUGUCCAUAAACUGGAGCAAUUGAAAAUACUUGUUACAUUUGAAUUCCAAAAAAGUUACACAUUGUAGUUGUUUACAUGAUGUACAGCCGUAUGUUUCUAUACACCCAUUGUACAACGCAUACACGCGCGUCUCCUGUCCGUCAUUUUGGUGGUCAAAAUGUGCACAAAAUGAUGGUACAAGUAUGUGCGCACCAAUACGCGUGUAAACACGUGUUCCAUCCUUUUGUGUAUGUUUUGACCCCCAAAAUGGCGGACAGGAGACGCGCGUGGAAGUGCGCUGCGCUUAGUGCAAUGGGUCUAUACCCAACUAAUCCCAGAGUUCUUUCAAGUCAUUACCUUGUUUAGGCCUAUGUUAACUUAAAUUUUGUUUACUUAGUUCAUUAAUUAACUAAAUGUAGUUUUUAAGAAAUACCGUUAACCAGAACCAAACUGGAAUGUUAAUACCAAAUAGAAAUCACAGAGUGAAGCAAAAAAUGAAACACAACUGUCCAAUAAUGGCCUGUUUCAAUUUUGUGAAGCACCUACAGUCACAAAGAAAUCUCAGCCCUGAAAGAUGACAACUAUAUGACCAUGAUAUUACUUAAAGGCACUGGACACUAUUGGUAACUACUCAAAUCUGAAAGCACACAACUUGUGCUACAAGGGUGUUUU